rnacentral:rRNA from 1 species
AUGAAUUGCAUAACAUGGAAUUGUCGCGGGCUUGGGAACCCGGAGACAGUUCGUGAACUUCACCAUUUGGUGAGGAUUGAAGCGCUCACCUUAGUCUUCUUAUCUGAGACGAAGAUUGAGGGCAAGAAGGUAACGGAUAUGAGAGCAAGACUUGGGUUUGAAGGAUGUAUUCCGGUCAGCAGUGAUGGACUGAGCGGAGGACUUGCCCUUUUCUGGUCUAGAGAAGUGGAUGUGAAGCUCAACAAUUUGUCUAACCAGCAUAUGAUGUAA